CGCAACUUCAGCUACAUGAAUAGCGUAGCUGAAGUUGAAGUAUCUUAGAUCGAUUUACCUCAGGUCCUCACAGCUCGGGAUCGACGUCUGUGGCUCCACCUGUCGACUCCGCUACCACCGCUGGCUCCGGUGGAGUUCUGGAAUCAACAGGGAGUG